AUGUCUACCUGGAGGGGAAAUUUCAUGAUGAUGGUGGUUUUCUGUGAGUGAGGCUUAUCCAUUGUAUCUGGAUGAUGUAACCCUGUUAUUCCCCAACUUUGGGAAUCUGGACAGAAUUAUUUGUGGUAGUGGGAGGGGGCACCAUUCAUGCUUUCCAA